rnacentral:rRNA from 1 species
AGUGAACGCUGGCGGUAGGCCUAACACAUGCAAGUCGAACGGCAGCACAGGGGAGCUUGCUCUCUGGGUGGCGAGUGGCGGACGGGUGAGGAAUACAUCGGAAUCUACUCUGUCGUGGGGGAUAACGUAGGGAAACUUACGCUAAUACCGCAUACGACCUACGGGUGAAAGCAGGGGCCCUUCGGGCCUUGCGCGAUUGAAUGAGCCGAUGUCGGAUUAGCUAGUUGGCGGGGUAAAGGCCCACCAAGGCGACGAUCCGUAGCUGGUCUGAGAGGAUGAUCAGCCACACUGGAACUGAGACACGGUCCAGACUCCUACGGGAGGCUGCAGUGGGGAAUAUUGGACAAUGGGCGCAAGCCUGAUCCAGCCAUACCGCGUGGGUGAAGAAGGCCUUCGGGUUGUAAAGCCCUUUUGUUGGGAAAGAAAUCCAGCUGGCUAAUACCCGGUUGGGAUGACGGUACCCAAAGAAUAAGCACCGGCUAACUUCGCGCCAGCCGCCGCCGUAA